rnacentral:lncRNA from 1 species
AACCCACUGAGUGAGGCCAGGGAUCGAACCCGCAUCCUCAUGGACACUAUGUCAGGGUCUCAACCUGCUGAGCCACACAGGAAGUCCUAUUUUAAAAUAUCUUAACAACAAAAAAAUGAGAGGAAAGACAGCCAAAGGUUCUGAUAUAUGUAUAUAUGGUGUUAAGAAACAAAACUCAACCUAGGAAAUUUAAAGAUCUAAUUGGCUUUGUCAGCUGAUUCAUGAAUUGGGCAGGCUCCCAUCUAGCACCUAGAAAGGCCCUCCAGGGAGUGGUACAAAUGGGAGGUUUGCAGAAAGGAAGGUGCAGCAAGGACGUCAUUAGCCGCAGAAGAGAAAGGGUUAUUUUGAGCCAGGCCAUCAUCUUUUUGGGGGGGAGGGAUGGCAAGGCUUUUAUCAUGCAAACUGCCUCUUCUGUCUCUGGGGGCGGUGGCGGGGUGGGAAGGGAGAGGAGAGGACCCCUGCAACAGCUGACCUCACUGGUGCAUGGCAGAAAACUCCAGACAGGCGGAUGAAUACUGCAUUUCUGGGAAGGCUGAAGUUGUAAUUAGUGUGGGCGUUACACCUAGGGUUGCUAUCAUGGGCUUGAGCACAAUGAUGCCUUUCGGGGCCUGUGGUUUUUCUCUGUAACAAUGGGAAAGAAGCCUCUGCCUACAACGGUGCCUUACGUAGUUUUAAAACUAUUCUAUGAUCUUGGAGGUUUACGGUCCGCAGGUGUAAUACACAUGCCUUUUUCCUCUAUGGAGAAAUCCAAGGACACCUUUUAAAUGACACCAACCUUAUUUUCCAGUAUUUUUUUCAAACCUUUAUCUUUCUAAUUCACCGUACCUGAGACAAAUCAGCCUACGCACUAUGCAGGCUGUACACAUCCCUCUCUCCGCUUGGAGUAGCCUUUACUCUGUGACAACCUGAAGGUGCAGGUGAAGCUUAUCUAGAUGAGGAAGCAGGCUCAGCAGGAAGUAAUCGUGCUGUUCUAUCAUGCUACCGACUUGGUGUCAAGACACUGCUCAGCAGUCAACCAUGGAGUUGGACAACUUAGGCUCCGAAGUUGUGACUCUCUCCGGAGGGCCUGGUGCUGGGAGGGUUUCUCUUCAACUUGCAGCUGCUUUCCCAGUCCCAUCUCCAAUCCUGGCGUCAUCAGUGGUGAGGCUGCCCUGUUUCCACCGCAGUCUCCCACAGUCACACCCAUGGGAGCUGAGUACCACCCUUGGACCAAAAGCUGCAAACCCACAAUUCCUAGCCAUUCCAGCUACAGGUUUUCAAAACCCCUUACAGACACAUGUUUUAAUGUACUUUUUAAUGGCUUGCAAUAUCUUUCUAUAGAUUUGUAA